rnacentral:tRNA from 1 species
GGCGAUAUUGCCAAGUGGUAAGGCAAAAGAUUGCAAAUCUUUCAUUCCCCAGUUCGAAUCUGGGUGUCGUCU